UACGGGGGGUGCGAGCGUUGUCCGGAAUCACUGGGCGUAAAGGGCGCGUAGGUGGUUUGAUAAGGGUGUGGUGAAAGUCCGGGGCUCAACCCCGGAUCUGCCGUGCCGACUGUCAAACUCGAGGGCUGUAGAGGCAGACGGAAUUCCGGGUGUAGCGGUGGAAUGCGUAGAUAUCUGGAGGAACACCGGUGGCGAAGGCGGGUCUCUGGGCAGUAACUGACGCUGAGGAGCGAAAGCGUGGGGAGCGAACAGG
rnacentral:rRNA from 1 species